rnacentral:rRNA from 1 species
AUUGAACGCUGGCGGCAUGCCUUACACAUGCAAGUCGAACGGUAACAGGUCUUCGGAUGCUGACGAGUGGCGAACGGGUGAGGAAUACAUCGGAACGUGCCUAGUAGUGGGGGAUAACUACUCGAAAGAGUGGCUAAUACCGCAUGAGAUCUACGGAGGAAAGCAGGGGAUGGCAAGACCUUGUGCUACUAGAGCGGCCGAUGGCAGAUUAGGUAGUUGGUGGGAUAAAAGCUUACCAAGCCGACGAUCUGUAGCUGGUCUGAGAGGACGAUCAGCCACACUGGGACUGAGAAACGGCCCAGACUCCUACGGGAGGCAGCAGUGGGGAAUUUUGGACAAUGGGCGCAAGCCUGAUCCAGCAAUGCCGCGUGCAGGAUGAAGGCCUUCGGGUUGUAAACUGCUUUUGUACGGAACGAAAAGCCCCGGGUUAAUACCCUGGGGUCAUGACGGUACCGUAAGAAUAAGCACCGGCUAACUACGUGCCAGCAGCCGCAGUAA